rnacentral:rRNA from 1 species
CGGGUGAGUAAUGUAUCGGAACGUGCCCAGUAGCGGGGGAUAACUACGCGAAAGCGUAGCUAAUACCGCAUACUAUUGGAGCGGCCGAUAUCGGAUUAGCUAGUUGGUGGGGUAACGGCUCACCAAGGCGACGAUCCGUAGCUGGUUUGAGAGGACGACCAGCCACACUGGGACUGAGACACGGCCCAGACUCCUACGGGAGGCAGCAGUGGGGAAUUUUGGACAAUGGGGGAAACCCUGAUCCAGCCAUCCCGCGUGUGCGAUGAAGGCCUUCGGGUUGUAAAGCACUUUUGGCAGGAAAGCGGUACCUGCAGAAUAAGCACCGGCUAACUACGUGCCAGCAGCCGCGGUAAUACGUAGGGUGCAAGCGUUAAUCGGAAUUACUGGGCGUAAAGCGUGCGCAGGCGGUUCGGAAAGAAAGAUGUGAAAUCCCAGAGCUUAACUUUGGAACUGCAUUUUUAACUACCGGGCUAGAGUGUGUCAGAGGGAGGUGGAAUUCCGCGUGUAGCAGUGAAAUGCGUAGAUAUGCGGAGGAACACCGAUGGCGAAG